GUGGGGUGGGGGUGGGGGGAGACCGCAGCAUGGCUUCUCCCACCCCCAGGAACGGGGGGAGCUCCGGGCUCCCCAGAUGAAAGGCUCAGUACCCCAGCGCUCGGUAGACUGUGGUGAGGGGCGGGGGUGCGGGGGGGAGAAGGUAGUGCCAGGACUUGGCACAGACUACAAAGUGUGGGGGCACCCCCCAGCACUCCCGCUGCCGGCUGGCAGGGGGAGGGGCUGUGACGUUCGGUGGCCUCAUGCAGCCUCAUGCAGCCGGGAGGAAGUAGCUAAUUGCUGACCUGAUGACUGGGCGGCCUGAGGAGUGGGGUGAUGAUGCCACUCACAGCAGCAGGCUCCCGGGAUCAAGGAGGGGGCCCUGCUGGGACGGAGCAGGCCAGGCUGUGCUCUGCAGAGGCUGAGGUGGCUGCGGCCAAAGGAGCAGGGGGUGGGGGUGUGAAGGAGGAGCGCCCCCUGGAGGCGGGAAGAGGCUCUGGCCACGCCCCUCGCUGCCCCGCCCCAGGCCCCGCCCACUGUGUCCUCGGAAGUGGGGAAGCUCCGCCAGCAGCCCCGGGACAGGUGGCUCCUCGCCCGGGGAAAGUGCCGGCGCCUCCCCGGGCAAGAGUCCCUUCUCCGCAGCCUCUGCCGUCCCCUGCGUCCCCACCCGGGCUUCCGCGAGUCUGACUCAGAGCCGAGCCCGCAUCGCUUCACCUCCGCCAACACACCCGCAGCGCGCGGAAAAAUUACAGUAUUUCAGGGGCACUGCUAACGCGCUCUGAUUACCCACCGCCGCCCUCUUCCGCGGCUCUCAGUGGCAUUGGGCCAACGCGCCAUCAUUAGGCCGUCCCUCCCCGGUCCUGGAACACCGCCGUCACCUGUCCCCUGUCCCUCGCCCCCUGUCCCCAGGAGUGCUCGCCUCGGACCCUCCCAUAGCCUCCUGCCGCCCUGCGGGACUGCACCCUUGGUCCCAGGAGAGAGCUAGGAGACCCCACCUGGGAUGGGGAAUGGGGAGGUGCAGGACUUGGAAACCUGACCCCAGGCCUGAAGGGGCCCCUCCCCGUCUGUAAGGCUACAGUGUUUGAGAUCUCUGCUGGAAGGGACUGGGAGAGUGGGGAAUGGGGCAGGACUUUCUCCACUGAGGUCCAUUGGAAAGUUAACUGUUCGGGGCAGGGGUGGGUAGGGCGCCUGGGCAAUAGUAUCCCAUUUUGCACAUGAGGCUCAGAGAAGUAAGGCUCUUAGGGAAGGCCACCCAGCCAGAACUUCCAGAUCAGCUCAUUUAAAGAGUCGGACAGGCUCCUUCUCCUAACAGGGGAAUUGCAUUUCUGCGAAGAAAGGUGAUAUCCCCAUUACAGACUGGGAGUAUUGGCAGCCGACCAGCUGUGGCCUGUUGGUUCCAAGUGAACUGGUGAAGAGUGGCUCAAGUCUCUCAUCCCAGGAAGGGUGGGCGGAGGCCCUGAACACACAGAACCCAAGCCUGGUGGCCAGGACUUGAGGGGAGCAACUUGUCUGUCAGCCUCUUCAUCCAAACCAGGCUCAAACCUCUCUUCUAUCAGGAAUUCUUUCCUGAUGCCCAGGGGUUGCCAACUCAUGGCCUUGGGCCAAGUUAAACCUUUAGUGAGAUUUUGUUUGGCCUUCAGUGUGUAUGUGGUUUUUAUAUUGAAUGUAAGAUCCUAUGACAUGCAGGCUGCCCUCCUCAUUGGCAAAGACACGUGUGGCCAGACUAAGUCCCCAAAGGCAUUUGAGAUCUUGGCUUAGAUCAGCCCACCCGGCCUGAGCCUUCACAUCUUCCCUCAUCUUCUAGGAUCUCAGUCGGCGCUGCUGCCCCUUCGUGGUUCUUGCAUGUUUCUCCUUAAGUAUGCAGAGUUGAGUGUCCCUCCAGGCCCCUCUUUAGGCUCCCCACAGGUGGUGGCUGCCUAUAUUUCUGAGAACCCCUCUGGCAGCCCCGUUUUUCAUCUUGUAUGUCAAUCUCUGCCCUGGGUAGGCACCACAUCUUUUCCAGCAGGGGUGACAUGGUAUUUUUCUGCCAUCAGACUACAGGCUCCUUGAGGGCAGGAUAUUGACUCAGACUGGGAUUUCACUGAGGGCUAAAUGAAUGGGUGCGGGAGUAGCACCCUCUAUCAUAGGGAGCUCCCUGAGGGCAGGGCCAUGGCUCCCCUCAGUCUAGAGCUCUUUGAAGACAUUGGAUUCUCCCCUCAGAUGAGGCUUUUGCACCCCACCCAACCCCUCUGGCUCUCAGCUGCUCCCAGGCAUUCCUUCCAGGACACCGUUUGUCAUGCUUUGAUGAAUGAAACCUACUAAGAAUAACUCAGUCCUUGUAGUCUCUAAAGGACAGGGGUGUUGGGGGCGGCGGGGGAGCCGAGACUGGUGAUUGUGAGGGGCUAGAGGAGGAGGAUGAACACAACUCUUCAUUCCAUAGCGUUUUCCCAGGUGCCCAUCGUCCACUAGGAAGAGACUCGGGGCGGGGGGUGCCGCAAGCCCCCCUACGGUGCCAUUCCUGCCGUUGCCAGUAGGGGGAGGUUCCACAGGACUCCUGAGAUGGAAAUGCCAGCCCCCUUCUUCACAGCCUUCCCAGCCCUGAAGUCAUCACCUCAGUGCCACCCAGCCCCCUCUAUGCCUGCCACCGGCUUCCUCUGCCUGGAAGUCAGGUGCUUGGGGCGAGGGGCAGCUUCCACUGGGACAGGCACUGUGGGGGGGUGCCUUCAUCUUCCUGAGGAGGACUGUCAGAGUGAUCACGGGGGAUGGGGGGGUAGGGAAUGGAAAAGCAGUCUCAGAAUGACAGGAGGGCAUUUGGUGUUGGUUUUUUUUUUUUUUAAUAAGAAGUGAUUUAUUAGUGGUGUUUUAAUUUAGGGACGAGGCAUGACUGACCCAGAAGAUGAACCCCUGUCCCCGACCCCACUCCACUCUUCCUUCCUCAUCCCGCCCCUUUCCACUCCCAGACCUCAAGCCUCCAGUUCAGAACUGAGCGACCUUUCCAGGGCAACUGUUCUCCCAGGCACUUCACAAGGGGCCCGAGGGGUGGGGAGCCUGUGACCUUAACGCGCUUCUUUGGACGAGGCCUUCCUGGCACCCGGCCCCCACCUGCCACCUCCUGAGAGGGACAUUUCGGCCUGGUCUUGGCAAAAACACCAGCCUCUGAGCCAGGCAGCCUGGUAUGGUACCAGCCCUGCCACUGACUCCACUGUGACCUUGAGAAGUCCUUUGCUCCCUGGGCCUCAGUUUCCCCAUACCUGAAAUGAGUUUGCUCUAGGUUUCAUGGUUUGUGAACCUUUCUUUUUAAAAAAUAAUGGAUCCUAUUACUUAAAUAGUAACUUAUGUGGCGUCUCCACUGGUGACAUUGAAAAAGUUUGGAGUUCUAUGGUCAAAAUAGGGGUGGGGGUCCAGAGCCC